UACAGAGGGUGCUAGCGUUGUUCGGAAUCAUUGGGCGUAAAGGGCGUGUAGGCGGUUUGUUAAGUCAUGUGUGAAAUCCCUCGGCUCAACCGGGGAACGACGCAUGAAACUGGCAAGCUAGAGUACCAAAGAGGGGGGUGGAAUUCCCGGUGUAGCGGUGAAAUGCGUAGAUAUCUGGAGGAACACCGGUGGCGAAGGCGGCAUCCUGGACCACGACUGACGCUGAGGAGCGAAAGCCAGGGGAGCAAACGGG
rnacentral:rRNA from 1 species